CCUACGGGUGGCAGCAGUGGGGAAUAUUGGACAAUGGGGGGAACCCUGAUCCAGCCAUGCCGCGUGUGUGAAGAAGGCCCUCGGGUUGUAAAGCACUUUCAGUGAGGAAGAACGCCUGGUGGUUAAUACCCAUCAGGAAAGACAUCACUCACAGAAGAAGCACCGGCUAACUCCGUGCCAGCAGCCGCGGUAAUACGGAGGGUGCGAGCGUUAAUCGGAAUUACUGGGCGUAAAGCGCGCGUAGGUGGCUUGAUAAGCCGGUUGUGAAAGCCCCGGGCUCAACCUGGGAACGGCAUCCGGAACUGUCAAGCUAGAGUGCAGGAGAGGAAGGUAGAAUUCCCGGUGUAGCGGUGAAAUGCGUAGAGAUCGGGAGGAAUACCAGUGGCGAAGGCGGCCUUCUGGACUGACACUGACACUGAGGUGCGAAAGCGUGGGUAGCAAACAGGAUUAUAUACCCUAGUAGUC
rnacentral:rRNA from 1 species